rnacentral:rRNA from 1 species
CCNGGAGWUUNUUNNUGGCGAACGGGUGAGUAACACGUGGGCAAUCUGCCCUGCACUCUGGGACAAGCCCUGGAAACGGGGUCUAAUACCGGAUACUGACCCGCUUGGGCAUCCAAGCGGUUCGAAAGCUCCGGCGGUGCAGGAUGAGCCCGCGGCCUAUCAGCUUGUUGGUGAGGUAAUGGCUCACCAAGGCGACGACGGGUAGCCGGCCUGAGAGGGCGACCGGCCACACUGGGACUGAGACACGGCCCAGACUCCUACGGGAGGCAGCAGUGGGGAAUAUUGCACAAUGGGCGAAAGCCUGAUGCAGCGACGCCCCGUGAGGGAUGACGGCCUUCGGGUUGUAAACCUCUUUCAGCAGGGAAGAAGCGAAAGUGACGGUACCUGCAGAAGAAGCGCCGGCUAACUACSUGCCAGCAGCCGCGGUAAUACGUAGGGCGCGAGCGUUGUCCGGAAUUAUUGGGCGUAAAGAGCUCGUAGGCGGCUUGUMACGWCGGCUGUGAAARCCCGSGGSUUWWMCCCCCGUCUGC